AGCAAAAGCAGUUUGUCCGUGCUUUUGGAGGAGGUUGCAGAUUGAUGAUUGAUAAAUGAUUCAUAUGUGAUAUUUGGGAAUGCCAGAUAAUGUGCCGCCAGUAGUUUUUAUUUGUUAAUGGGAGUUGGUUUGUUAGCUUAUAUAUGCUUUGUGUGUUUGUCCUGUUUGUAUCUUGAUCCACCCCAUUUUUAUGGGGUCCAAUUAUCUUAACUGCACUUUCAACUGAUGAUGACAGAACUAGUGACAUUUCACAGCUAGGAAUGUGAUCG
rnacentral:misc_RNA from 1 species